AAGGAUCAUUAAAAAUAUGUAAUCACAGUUGCUUGCUAUUUUGCUUCUAGCAGGUAGCGAGUACCUGCGAUUGCCUGACUUGUUCAGGUACCCUUGCCUCUUUCGAGUACCAUUCUGUUUCCUCGGCAGGCUUGCCUGCCAAUGGGGACUUCAAACCAAAUUCUUGUAGUAGCAGUAUCAGUCUGAGAAUUCAAAUUCAAAUUAAAUUAAAACUUUCAACAACGGAUCUCUUGGUUCUGGCAUCGAUGAAGAACGCAGCGAAAUGCGAUAAGUAGUGUGAAUUGCAGAAUUCCGUGAAUCAUCGAAUCUUUGAACGCACAUUGCGCCCUUUGGUAUUCCAUAGGGCAUGCCUGUUCGAGCGUCAUUUCACCCUUCAAGCUCUGCUUGGUGUUGGGCGUCUGUCCUGUUCUUUUGUAAAUGGACUCGCCCUAAAAAUAUUGGUAGCCGGUAUAGUGGCCUUGAGCGCAGUAGAAUUGCGUCUUUAAGCCCAGCAUCCUGGUGUCCAUAAAGCCCAUCUUAUUAUCUUGACCUCGGAUCAGGUAGGGAUACCCGCUGAACUUAA
rnacentral:rRNA from 1 species